AACGCGAAGAACCUUACCUGGUCUUGACAUCUACGGAACCCUGCAGAGAUGUAGGGGUGCCUUCGGGAACCGUAAGACAGGUGCUGCAUGGCUGUCGUCAGCUCGUGUCGUGAGAUGUUGGGUUAAGUCCCGCAACGAGCGCAACCCUUGUCCUUAGUUGCCAGCAUUCAGUUGGGAACUCUAAGGAGACCGCCGGUGACAAACCGGAGGAAGGUGGGGAUGACGUCAAGUCAUCAUGGCCUUUAUGACCAGGGCUACACACGUGCUACAAUGGUAGAUACAGAGGGAAGCCAACGCGCGAGCGGGAGCCAAUCCCAGAAAAUCUAUCGUAGUCCGGAUCGGAGUCUGCAACUCGACUCCGUGAAGUCGGAAUCGCUAGUAAUCGCAGAUCAGCAUUGCUGCGGUGAAUACGUUCCCGGGCCUUGUA
rnacentral:rRNA from 1 species